CCUGGAUGUCCAACACAACUGUAAACAAGUAAAAGAGGCUCAGCAACUAUACAGUGGAAGAAGCACCAGACGGAUACCAUAUACCUUCAAAUGCCCUUUCCUCCUGUACCUCAAUUCUGCAUCAUAAUAGAUUUGUCACUAAAACUUAUGGAAGAAUCAAAUGUUUAUGUACAUUUGCUAAUAGAAAUAAGAUGUAAAGUGCAUUCGGGAAAACAUUAUACAAAGGCAAGAGUUAACCAUACCAACCAGAAACGCCCAUGUUGCUCAGUCUAAUCCACUUAUAAUUCGAGCACUCCGAUAUUCUCCUUAUGUGAUGUCGAAAAUAUAGAAUAGCUUGAAUAUCAGAACGAGUGAUUGUGACAUAGUUCAAGAAAUCAACUGAUCUCUUAUAUCUCUCGGGUCAAUAAGAGACUCCCC
rnacentral:lncRNA from 1 species